rnacentral:lncRNA from 1 species
UUCGUUGUCGUCGUGCUCGUGUUCAUUGAAGAGCACAAUGAAGAAGGAGGAGAAGAAGAAGAGGAAGCAAAACGCAUCUGUGGGUAAGUGUUUUAAAUGAGAAUGAAGAAAAAAAGGACUUUGAAAAAAGUUUUUAAUAAAGAGAAAGAGUCGUCUGAUGUGUGAGUUGACUCAGACUUUGGAUCGUCGUCGUCGUCGUCGUCUUGUGUAAGGUUCGUGAAAAAUGGGGCAGAGCAAAAGAAAGAAACACUACUCUGAUGAGAACACAACACAAAUGACUCAAAGAAAAAAAAGAAAAAAAACCAAAUCGGUCUUUGCGCGUUAAAUGUUUUUUUCUUCUUUCUUCUUUUUUGACUUUUCAACAUCAUUAUAUCUUUUUAUAUUUUGUUUGUUUGUUAGAGAGAUGGACAAAUUUUUCUUUUAUUUGGUGUUAUUUCGCUUUUUUUAAUUCGUUUUUAAAAUAAUUAUGGAUAUUUAAUUUUAUUUGUAGGUUUGUAGUUUUUGACCAAAUCAAAUGAUAGAAAAUAUGACAUCCAUCGGAAUCAAAUCAGUUCGCCAUGAUUCGUAUGUUGUUUAACUUGUUAAGUCUAGGUGCACAAUAUUCUAUUUCUAACCCAAAAAUUUGAUGCAAUUCCGACUUAAAUAAAAUCACUAACAAAAAUAUGAAAUUUAAUUAAAUUUGAACCG